AACACUUAAGAUCUAGUCUCAGCAACUUCCAAGUAUACAAUACAUGAUAUUAACUAUAGGCCUAUGACCGAGUUUUGACCAUACGGACAAAGAUGAUGUUGUAGGGGAUGGCGUGAAACCCACACGGAAGAAGCCGGGGAAUCCUGAAUGCAGAGCAGGCUUCCUGCCUACCCUGCACUAUUCCAAGAGACAGAAAUAAGUGUAUUGUUUGACUCCCUGUAUUGUUGGGGCUCCCUGUCGCAGCAGGUCACUAACCCACAUGGCAUGUGGUAUUCCACAAAGGCUUUAAAAAGGUACUUCAGUCACAAGUCACUCAGUAACUUUUUCCUGAGUGGCUACGGGACGCGCGACCUCGGAGAAGAAAAUGCAGUGUCUACUGGCCAGAGUGGGCGUUCAGAAUGGGCCUGGGGGACGGCACUCCAGGAGCGUCAGCAGUGAUGACUGGUCCUGGUUCCUCUGGCCGUCCACCUGUGAUGCAGGAUUUGUGGAGACGCUCCUCAUGUGAAGCCUGCAGGGCUUGGACACCUUGCACUUUGCCAGCACCAAGUGUGGCUGGUUCUGCAGAUUCAGAGAACAACUGAUGUCCAAAGGACUGAGAAAGCUUUGAGCUGUUUCUGUAGUGGGCACAUGGCUAGUCAAUGAUCAAAGUGUUUAAGAGGAUCCAAGUGAUGGGUUUUCUGACAAUUCUAAUAGAAUCUAGAAGAUUUUUCUGUCCAGCUCCAGUUCUUACAUAUUCUUAUUGAGACAUGUAUAUGGUAAUUGAUAAGACGACCAGAGAGCCAAAGCAGAGAAGUAUGCUGAGAGACAUAUUCAAGACUGAAUGAAUGUGUUCUAUAGAAAAGUAUGAAAAUAGGCCAUCAUAGAUUGUGAAAGACUAUACUUUCUUUUGACUGGGUAGACAUGUCCAGUGCUGUUAAUGCAGCAAAGGGCUCUGUGUGCUUUUAAAAAUCCCAAUCUGUUGAUUCACAAACUUUGACUGGUUGUAAGGCAGGCUCCCCACCUUGGGAAGGCACCCCCACAAGCUUUCAAGGGGUGUUGUUUGCAGUGGCAGGUUAUGAUUGGUUCACCAGGAGCUCAGUUGCCACCAUGCUGGUCUGCAGAACUCCCCUAGGAUACCCCACAGGGGCUCCCCUCCACUCUUGUCUGCCUCUUCUGCAGCUGGCCACACCUGUAUCUCACAGCUGGUCUCAACCCUCCUCCUUCCCCACGGAUGUUUAAGAGGCAGGAACCCAAAGAUUAAGGAGGGAGGGACUCACCUCCAAAGGUAAGUGGGGAGAAGUGAAUGGACCAAGGAUAAAGCCAGAAAUGAGUUGAAGAAUUCCAGGAAUGACAAGUCAGAGGACCUUCUAGGCUGUGAUUGGAACAGGAAGGCCUGGAAGUGCAUUGACUCUUGAGGUUGCUUCCUACUCUCUUGCAGACUGGCUGUGAGGACCAACUGAGGUCCUAUUUGUCAAGCACCAGGGCCAGCCCUAACGUUAGUGCUUUUCUAAACCCUGUGGCCCAGGGGCCUCUGUCAACGCAUCCUCCCUGCCAUGCAUCGCUCCUCCACGCCUCUGUGCCUGUGCAUGACCGGGAUGUCCUUCUCCUUCUCCACCUGGAGAAAUCGCCUGCUCCAGGAGACCCAGCCCAGAUGUCAUGUCAUCACUGACUACAUCAGGAAGUCAGUGGCAGGGUUCUGUGCCCCCAAAGAAUGUGUCACACUGUGUUGUGAUGAUAUUUCCACAUCGGUCUCCCUCAACUGUACUGAGAGCUUCUCACUCAUCUUCAUGCCUUCCUGGUCUCUCCUGAUGCCAGCACCUUCCUGAGGACAGAGGUGUUCAGGAAAUAGGUGUUUUUGGAAAUGAACAAAUACAUACAUAAAUAAAGAAAUGUUCUUAUGGUCCA
ensembl:lncRNA